rnacentral:lncRNA from 1 species
UUUAGAGUAAGUUUGUUGUGCUAUCCAAAGACUUGUUAUAAGGUUGGUAUGAAUUGUCUUAAUGCAUAUUGAUACUUAUGACAUAUUUGAUGGUGUUGUCUUGUUGUACUAUUCACAAAGAUAGCAUUUUUCAAGUAUGACUAUAUAAAAAUGGAAGAUCUGACGUAAUUAAAAUAUUAUAGCUUGUUAUACUAUCCAUAAGAUUAUAAGUGUUUUAGAGGUAAAAGUAUUAUUGAGAAUUAUAUAAGAUACAAUUUAAAAGAAGUUUCUUACUCUUGAACUCAUGAAAAUUUAUUGUGCUAUCC